UAAUUGAAGAGUUUGAUCAUGGCUCAGAUUGAACGCUGGCGGCAGGCCUAACACAUGCAAGUCGAGCGGUAACAGGGGAAGCUUGCUUCCCGCUGACGAGCGGCGGACGGGUGAGUAAUGUAUG
rnacentral:rRNA from 1 species